CUGAGCUAUUAGCAAUUAUCUUCAAAAAGUCAUGGAAGACGGUUACUGACGAGACACCUACUGGACAGAAGAGUAAACCCACUAGCCAGAUUCAGAUAUGAAAGACAAGAAGGGUGCUCCCAUCAGCAAGGUCCAAGGGCAAGAACCCGAGCCUCCAGUCUGCUGCCAGAAGGAAUCAUACUCCUGCAUGAGAAAGCUAACAGCUUCACUAAACACCACAAGUUUCAGGAUAGCAAAAGUGAAACUGAGCUGUUAAUUUCACACUGCUACCAUUGCCACUGGGCAACCUGCAACCCAGCUGCAGAAGUAUGG